rnacentral:rRNA from 1 species
UACGUAGGGGGGCUAGCGUUGUCCGGAAUUAUUGGGCGUAAAGAGCUCGUAGGCGGUGUGUCGCGUCGGCCGUGAAAAACCUGCAGCUUAACUGUGGGCUUGCGGUCGAUACGGGCAUCACUGGAGUUCGGCAGGGGAGACUGGAAUUCCUGGUGUAGCGGUGAAAUGCGCAGAUAUCAGGAGGAACACCGGUGGCGAAGGCGGGUCUCUGGGCCGAUACUGACGCUGAGGAGCGAAAGCGUGGGGAGCGAACAGG